rnacentral:rRNA from 1 species
AGCAGCCGCGGUAAUUCCAGCUCCAAUAGCGUAUAUUAAAGUUGUUGCAGUUAAAAAGCUCGUAGUUGAAUUUCGGGGUUAGUAGGUUGGUCAUGCCUCUGGUAUGUACUGGUCUCACUGAUUCCUCCUUCCUGAUGAGCCGUAAUGCCAUUAAUUUGGUGUUGCGGGGAAUUUGGACUGUUACUUUGAAAAAAUUAGAGUGUUUAAAGCAAGCUAACGCUUGAAUACAUUAGCAUGGAAUAAUGAAAUAGGACGUUCGAUCCUAUUUUGUUGGUUUCUAGGAUUGACGUAAUGAUUAAUAGGGAUAGUUGGGGGCAUUAGUAUUCAAUUGUCAGAGGUGAAAUUCUUGGAUUUAUUGAAGACUAACUACUGCGAAAGCAUUUGCCAAGGAUGUUUUCAUUAAUCAAGAGCGAAAGUUAGGGGAUCGAAGACGAUCAGAUACCGUCGUAGUCUUAACCAUAAACUAUGCCGACUAGGGAUCGGAUGAUGUUAAUUUUUUAAUGACUCACUCGGCGCCUUACG